AUAUCUGGUCUGUUCUUUGGGUUUGUCCUUGCUCCUCCCGCCUUCUUUACAUUUUACUGGAAAAGGAGCUGAACAAAACCCUUGACACAUGUUCAUCCUUUAUUUGGCCAUCAUGAUUCACUUUUUUGAAAAAAGUUAUCCUUUAUCGGAAUAUUGUUAUUUAUCCUUUAAGACAUUAUUGUUAUUCAUCCUUUGACGGAAUAUUGUUAUCUAGCGAUUUUCAUUUAUUCAAACUUAAGGAAGGAGAAGAUGUGUGUUUUUGCUCAGUAUCAGGAUUUGAAGGGGCUUUUCUUGUUUUGUUUGUUGUUGAGAUUGCGUGUUAAAACUUUCCAGCUGUUGCCAAAUAGCGAAAGAGGAAAAUUGAUGUUUUCUGAAGUUUUGUUUUACCACAGUUGAGUCCCCCUGGGAUGUGCGCUGUGGGGGUGGAGGGAUCAGAAGCAUAACAUGCUGGCUGAAGGGUUGUUCGCCAUGGUUGGGUCAGAUCUGGGCACCAGUUCCCGUCUGGGACAGAGCCUUCCCCGCCUCAGCGUCUUCCAGUCCAGGAGGACAGGUCUCACUUGGACCCAGUCACCUGCUGGGGUGGGAUGGAGAGACGCUGCAGAGGGAGGAUCCUUCCCUGGCCAGGCCCCAGCCAUUGGGUUUUGCUGCUGUUCCUUUGUGCCCUGUGCAGUGUAACCCCUGUCACCACGAGCCCACUGCCCACCUCUGUCAGUGAAGAUUGGAACAGAAGUGGGGGAGAUUUCUGGUGCAGUUAAACAGGUAUCACCCUGCUCCCCCCAGGCUGACGGCUGGCCAGCCCUCUCUCCAGGUGUCUGAGGAUUUCCAGGGCUCCUUUGGGGAUCCUCGUGGGGAAUCCUGCACACUCAUCUCCUAGUGAGGUCUCUCUUCUGCUCAUACUGAAAUGCGAGCAGUUUGCUCUGCUUAUUGCUGUACAGUCUAAAAAUAAUUCAGUAUUUCCCCUUGUUUAUAGCAAUGUCCCUAAUUUUUGAACUGUUACAGAAUUUCCUCUAAAAAUGAAAACGCGAAAAAACGAACUACUCCUUGGCAAUUUCAGUGGAAUUGGGGAGAAAACCAAGGCAAAUCAGUGGAAUCCAGUCGUUGUCCGUCGCCGUCAUUUCUCGUUUCUCUUUUUUUGCUUGUGUAAAUAGCAGUGAUGUCAUCUUCGUAGUUGGAUGAUUUUCUUAGUAUCUAGUCCCACAGUAGGAUCACUAGUCUAUGCAUAUUGAUGUAUUUAUGACUUGAUUAUGAUUGCUAAAUUGCUUUUCUAAAAAGUUUGAUUCCUCUUUCAAUGCCUUCGGUGGUAUAGGAAGGUCUGAAAUGGCAAGACUCUAGCUCAUCAUGAACAUUUUUCUUCCCUAAUUUGGUAGUAAAGUAGUGCCUGCUUCUUAUUUUAAUUUGUACCUCUUUUGUUCUUUUCAGGAAGAAUCUGGUACCUUCACAUUAGAUGCAGGAAUGUUAGCAAGCUCUCCUGCUUGCUGGUUUCAUCCUGUUCCCUUAUCCUUAAAUUAAAAUAGCUUCCGUUCCCUUGGGUGAUGAAAACCUAGUGUCCACUCUGACAGGUCUGGAGAGAAUAUUUUUCAUCUAGUCAAUUCUUACUACUAUUUUUUUUUUUUUUUUGCUUUUUUAGGGUCACCCCUGCGGCAUGUGGAGGUUCCCAGGCUAGGCGUGAAAUCGGAGCUGUAGCUGCCAGCUUAGGCCACAGCCACAGCAACAUCAGAUCCGAGCUACAGCUGCGAUCUACACCACACCUCACAGCAACACCAGAUUCUUAACCCACUGAGCGAGGCCAGGGAUGGAACCUGUGUCCUCAUGGAUGCCAGUUGGAUUCGUUUCCACUGAGCCACAAGGGAACUCCCCCAAUUUUUUGAAUCAACAGAAUUCUCAGACUCUCUUAUCAUGUGACUCAUCAUUCCGUCCCCAUUUCUUCAAACACUCUUCACAGCAGGGGUGGCAGAAGGAGAGGUGGAACUUGCCAGUAAACAAAACCCCUUUGCCUCAUGAACAACUGGAAACUGCUCCUGGGAACUUCUCCUUGAUCCCUUUCCUUCUCGGAGCCCUGCUCCCUGCACCUGCCGGGCUGGCCUGCCUCUUCCUGACCACACCUCGUCAGGCUCUCCUCUCUCCUCUGCGUCCUGGGCUCUUCCCUGGGCUUCUCCGAAGGCCUCUGGUCCCCACCUCCCCUCCACUUGGCCCUGUCCUAGGGCUGUCUUUUCACAGUCUGAAAUGGGCAUCAAUGUGUUGCUAAGAAAAAUGCAGUGUUCUUCCUGAGUAAUUAUGCCAGCCACUUUUAGCCACUGACCCCUCCUUUCCUUGCGCCAUUUUUCCUCUUUUGUAUGUUUUCUGGUCAGGCUCUUGGCUCAUUUACCUACUGAUGUUUUUUAAUGUUUUCUUAUAUGUUAAUGCACUCUUUUUGAUCACUUAAAGAUUCCUGAAUUAAGAAAAAAAUCAUAAUUCUCUCCACAGUAAACAGAAAGUACUGUUUCUUAGUUUCUGAAGAAAAUUACUUUCUCCUUGAAGAAUCAAUAAAUCUUUUGAAGUAUUAUUACAUACAUGGCUUCAAGCUACAAAGCAGAAACUCAAAUCUCAUUGUGUAUAUAUCUAUAUAUUUAUAUCAGAAGAAAUUUCCCAUAAUUGUGUUUAUUUAUCUUUGGCUUACCUUGGUAAGCAAUAUCACACUGUUACCCAUAUAAAAUACAAUGAAUUGUCAACAUCUGACCUUUACUAGACAAAACAAAUAUCUUCCCUUUGAAUAUUAGACAUGUGCUCAUUUAUUUUGAAUCUUAUUCUGAGUAGUUUGAGAAUCAUCUAGUUCUAGAAAUGUAUUCUACCAAACUCAAAUUCUUGGAUGUGUCUUUGAGGAAGUUCCUUUAUCUUGCUAUUUAUUCUAUCUCAGAUGAAAAGAGGAAUAUUUUUAGAACAUACAUUUCAUAGGUGUGUAUUUUAUAUGGUCUUUAAAAAUCUUAACUAGUGCAAAUUAAUAAUAAAAGCCCAGACCUUUUGCCAGCAUUUCUCAACUCCUCCCCAGUAUACAUGUAGUGACCUUUGAGGAAAGGGGAAGUGCUCUUUACAGGAAAAAAAAAGUGAUUCAAGAAUGAUGCACAAAGACAGACUAUAAAGAAUCAAUGGAAGAGUUCCUGUUGUGGCUCAGCAGUAAUGAACCCAAAUAACAUCCAUAAGGAUGCAGGUUCGAUCCCUGGCCUCCCUCGGUGGGUUAAGUAUCCAGCAUUGCUGUGAUGUGACUGCAGCUCUGAUUCAACCUCUAGCCUAGGAACUUA
rnacentral:lncRNA from 1 species